rnacentral:rRNA from 1 species
CAGCCGCCGCGGUAAUACGUAGGGUGCGAGCGUUAAUCGGAAUUACUGGGCGUAAAGCGUGCGCAGGCGGUUGUGUAAGACAGGUGUGAAAUCCCCGGGCUUAACCUGGGAACUGCGCUUGUGACUGCACAGCUAGAGUAUGGCAGAGGGGGGUGGAAUUCCACGUGUAGCAGUGAAAUGCGUAGAGAUGUGGAGGAACACCGAUGGCGGAGGCAGCCCCCUGGGCCAAUACUGACGCUCAUGCACGAAAGCGUGGGGAGCGAACAGGAUUAGAUACCCGAGUAGUCCCUGUCUCUUAUAC